GAUGAACGCUAGCGGCAGGCUUAACACAUGCAAGUCGAGGGGUAUAGUUCUUCGGAACUAGAGACCGGCGCACGGGUGCGUAACGCGUAUGCAAUCUACCUUUUACAGAGGGAUAGCCCAGAGAAAUUUGGAUUAAUACCUCAUAGUAUAACGACUCGGCAUCGAGAUGUUAUUAAAGUCACAACGGUGAAAGAUGAGCAUGCGUCCCAUUAGCUAGUUGGUAUGGUAACGGCAUACCAAGGCGACGAUGGGUAGGGGUCCUGAUAGGGAGAUCCCCCACACUGGUACUGAGACACGGACCAGACUCCUACGGGAGGCAGCAGUGAGGAAUAUUGGACAAUGGGCGCAAGCCUGAUCCAGCCAUGCCGCGUGCAGGAUGACGGUCCUAUGGAUUGUAAACUGCUUUUGCACAGGAAGAAACAACUCUACGUGUAGAGUCUUGACGGUACUGUGAGAAUAAGGAUCGGCUAACUCCGUGCCAGCAGCCGCGGUAAUACGGAGGAUCCAAGCGUUAUCCGGAAUCAUUGGGUUUAAAGGGUCCGUAGGCGGUCUUAUAAGUCAGUGGUGAAAUCUCCCCGCUCAACGGGGAAACGGCCAUUGAUACUGUAGGACUUGAAUUAUUUGGAAGUAACUAGAAUAUGUAGUGUAGCGGUGAAAUGCUUAGAGAUUACAUGGAAAUACCAAUUGCGAAAGGCAGGUUACUACUAAUGGAUUGACGCUGAUGGACGAAAGCGUGGGUAGCGAACAGGAUUAGAUACCCUGGUAGUCCACGCCGUAAACGAUGGAUACUAGCUGUUGGAAGCAAUUUCAGUGGCUAAGCGAAAGUGAUAAGUAUCC
rnacentral:rRNA from 1 species